UUUUUUAUCCUUUUUUAUUUCAUUUUUUUAUUAAAAGUAAUUAGUAUUCGUAUCAAUUACCGUUAGGGGUGAGCAUAAUUUGCGUUUAACCAAAUUAACUAACCGAGUUUGAUCGGUUCGACUCGGUUAAUAUAUAAGUUCGGUUUGGUUUAGCUUGAGAUUUGUAUAAUUUUGGGUAUUUGGGUACGAGGAAUCUUUAAUUCAGUUAACCAAAUUACUUGAAUUACUAAUUAAUAUAAAUUAGUAAUAUUAAUAUAUAAUAUAUGUUAAAUCUUAAAUAUUUAAUCUUAAAAUAUUUAUUUUAUUAAUAAACCCUUUUAUUAAUUAAGUUGGAAUUGGUAAAUUAGAAAUAAAAUUUGUAAUCAUAUUUUGUUUUUAUAAUUAAUUUUAAAUUUAUUUGGUCAAAUUCGGUUAAUCGAAUUAUUCAAAAAGUUGGUUCGGACGGGUACAGUUCAGUUACAACAAUUAACUUGGUCGGUUCGGUUAGGGAUUAGUGUUAAUCAAAAAAUUUGGAUAAUUCAAUUAAUUAACCAAAUUUGGCCGAACGGAUUGUUUGCACACCCCUAAUUGCCGCAGUCGACCACAACUUCCUUUCUACACUUAGCUAAAUUUGGGAAAGAUUCAUUUAAAUUUGAGAAUUCAAAGUUCUGAUGCAGUUUAUUAAUUAACUAUUAAAUUUAGUAGUAGAUUUAUGAUUAGCUAUUAAACAUAGUCAAUCCUCUCUCUCUCUUUCUCUCUCUUCUGGUUUCUUUUUCUUUUUUUAUUCUUAUAUUGACUGAGGUCAUGAGAAACUAAGAAUAGGCAUGUAGAUAAACUUCUUUGUGUUGGCCUAAAUAAGGCUUACGACUCUUAAUUUUGAUGAUAAUAAAGUAAGGUUAUUUAACAUGCUUCAAAGUUGUGAUGUUUUAGGACAAAUAGAUAUUGGAGCUUAGCAUUCUUCACAUGAUCACAAGGAAUAGUUUUGAAAGCUCACAUCAAUAUUGGUGAUCAAAAUUGAAAGCUUGAAGAACAAUGAGGCUCUACAUUAAAAGAACUCAAAGCAAUAAAUUCAAGAUUUCAAGGAGUUUAAGAAUUGAAGAGUCAAAAGAGUCAAUGGGACAUGCUUUGUUUUUAGCCUAGUUCUUCGCCGGUUUGACGAUUCGAAGUCGUCAUGCUACUCCUGGGAAGUUUCCUUUCAUAUCUGCAGGAAUAAAUCGUUUGUGAGGCCAAUUUAGGUACCAUCUCAAAAUUUGGGUAAGUUAAUUCUUUUAAGUUUUAUAAGGUAUUUGGUAUUUCUGGACUAAGGAGGUAUAGUAGAUGAAAUAAUACUGAAGUUUUGUUAGAGAAAAAUGUGAAUUUUAGGGUGUUAAGUUGGAAACACCACAUGUGCAGAUUUAGUUAAAUUUGUUGGCUUUUUAGUAGUCAGGUAAGAGGAUAAAUUAAGUCAGUUUAUUUUUAUAAAAAAAUAUUAUUUUUAAA